GAAGAGGUCACGCGGCUGCGCAAUAGGGUUUGGGCGGAUGCUUUCAACUUUGCGGUUUAUUUCUCGGUCUGUGAGUUUGCGGGUUCAUUGAAGACAGGAAAGUCUGUUCUCGUACGGCUUCACGCCACAGCCUCCAUUUUCCUUACAGGUUCCUGGGUGUAUUUGCUUGGGUGUGUUGGCUCCUGUGCCCACGAAUGACUGCCGUCCCCUGGACGGCUCGGGAGAGGAGUCAGCUAGGAAAGACUGGGAAAAAAAUAACGCUUUUUCUAACCGUGGUCGGCACCUCGGUGUCUUCUGUAGUUUUUAAAAAAUCGCUAGUAGGCCGGGCGGCGAUGGCGCACUCCUUUGAUCCCAGCACUCGGGAGGCAGAGCCAGGCGGAUCUCUGUGAGUUCGAGGCCAGCCUGGUGUACAGAGCGAGAUCCAGGACAGGCAUCAAAAUUACACAGAGAAACCCUGUCUCGGAAAAACCAAACCAAACAAACAAAGUCGCUAGUAGAUGUUGGAGAAGGCCACCUUGUGGGAAGAACGUUCUGCAUUCUGCCCCAUCCAAAGUUCUCAGUAAGUUUACUGCUUCCUUGCACAGACUCUCACAAUAGAAGCCUCUAUCCAGAUUUCAAAGGAGAGUCUGGGAGGCUAGGCAAUGUGUAACAUUGUUAGAGUCCUUGCAGGCAGCUCCUUAGAGGGCAGUGCAUGAAUCUGUGAGAGUGAAAUCUAGGAUGAAUGUUGUGGAGAACCCAGGAUGUUGGUGAUGUCAGGAAGUUGGGAAUUCUCCUGAGGAAAGUAUUGGGCAGUGUGGAGCCAGCCCAAGAGAGGCUAGGUGGCUUGGGAAUGGCAAGACCAUGGGGACUGAUUUUCCCAAGCCCUGGCACAGCUCUAUGAGCUCUGGGUACUGGACGUGGAGCUACAGGAUUUAAUAUUUGCCCUGCCAGGUUUCAGUCUUGCUUUGGGCAGAUCCUUCCUGGAUUCUUUACUUUGGGAAUGGGAAUGUUUUUGAUAGGUACUUGGGACUAUAUACCUUGAUGUUAGCAGAGCACACAGCUAAGUGUUUGCCCCAGUCUCGGGAGACUGGACUAGAGCUUUGGAGCAUUGGGGUUGGGGAGGGAUUGAAUCUUAUGGUAUAAGGAGAUGUGUUGGAAUGUCAGGUUGACUUGGGAUGGUUAAUCUUGAGAUUACUAAAGCCCACUUCUAGAUGUGUCUGUGAAGACCCUUCCAGAGAGGACUAAGAGACAGUGACCUUCCUUGAAUGUGGGUGACACCAUCCCAUGGGCUGGGUCCCAGACUGAAAAAAGGAAAAAGGACCAAGUCCAUGACCCCAGGCCUUCUCUCCCCCUGCCGCUGUCCCACAGUAGUGUGAGCUAUUCUGCUCUGCCAGGCCUCCCUCUCCCACCACAACGGACUGAAACUUCCUUUGAGUUUUUUGUGUGUCCUUUUUGGUCACAGUGAAGCAAAGUAACUAACAAAAAUAUUAUGUGUGUAGUUCUCAGACAUGAAAUAUUUGAAAAGGAGUAGACAUUUCUUCCAAAGAUUUGGGGAAGGUGGAAAACAGUAACAUAUGCUUCCGAUUGUUGCUUUGUUCAACUUUAUUUUUCUUUCAAGACAGAUUGGAGUAGUAAGUAGAGUGAUAGUUGGGGAAAAUUCUAGAAAGCAAUGAGAGGAGCCGGAAGGAGGGGGUUAUUGAAGCACAGAUGGCGGAAAUAAGAGAACGGGAGUCAGGGAGCAGGAAUUAGGUCCCCUCUUUCUCUGUUGCAGAGCCGCCACAAGGUGUGCAUUAACAGUGAGCCUGCUUUUGUAGAACAAUGGGAAGAAAAGCAAGGAUGCCUCCCAAGUUAAGAGGGUAGUAUGGAAAGAUUAUCUGAUGUGAAGGAGAGAUGCUGCGUGCUACCCUGCCCCAGGCCCAUGUCCCUUCGCUGCGACUCAGGUGGACCGGUGGGGCCUUGAACAAAGGGCAUCAUGGUGUCACCCACUCACUCCCCAGAGCUCACUCCACCUCCUGCUCUGAUAAAAGUAAACUUACAGAUGAAAUUCCCUUUAGAACAAGUUUCAUCCACUCCGAAGUCACACCUCUGUCCCCAUAGCUUCUUUUUCUUCAUUUUCUUCUGAUCUACCUUCCCUCUUCUGUUUAUUUACUUACUUAUUUAUUUUUGAGACAGACUCUCACUAUGUAUCCUUGGCUGGCUGGCCUAGAGCUUGUUACGCAGACCAGGCUAGCCUCAAUCAGAGAUCCACUGCCUACCUCUGCCUCCUGAGUGCUGGCAUUAGAGGCAUGCACCGCCAUGCCCAGCCCACCAUCCUUUUACUUUUUAAGGAAGUGUCCAUCCAUCCUCCUGGACUCAGCCCAAGUUCUAAGAUCUGCCAGACUCUGGGAGACUAAAAUAAAUUGGACUGAAGUGUUUUUGAGCUUUCUGUUGGAUCACUCAGCAAUUAUUCCAUGAGCAUUUGCCUUACUUUCUUAAUUAGCUUUUGAGUUUGCACAUAUCCUGUGUGUAGUUUACAAAGACAAAAACAUUCCCAGGGAAUGACUAGACUAUUGCAAAGUGUUACAACUGGAAAAAACAGAUUACUUGAGCACAAUUCCCGUAUCUUGGAUCAAAGUAGAGAAUGCACCUGAGCCUUCUAGAGUAAGGCUGGUGUUGGAUUUUCUCUAUGUAGAUCAUUAAUUAUACAUUAAUUUUAAAUCUCCAAAUUAAAUAGUUUUUAUUUGCAUAUGUAGCAAUGUACUGCUUUUCAGUACAUUACAUUUCAGAAUAAAGACCUUAUGAAACAUCUUGUUAUUAUUAAUAAGUUAGAAUAUUUGAGAAUAUUACCCCUCCACUCCUCACCCCUUUUCAUUUAAAGACAGUCUCAUGUAGCCCAGACUGGCCUGGAAUUUGAAUUCCUGAUCCUCCUGCAUUGUCCUGAGGGGGGAUAUUCCAUUUUUUGGGUAACAUAAUUCAAAAUAGAAUUUUAGUGAUGUGUGUAUGACUCAUGUUCAAAGACAGAAGUGAUGUAGCUUCUUCGAAGUUUGUUUUUCUGUGGUUAAUUGUGACAUUCAAAUAGUUUUCUCUCAAGACCCAAAAAAGCCAAGGCAUUGCCAGCUGUGAGUUUAUCCUGAAUAAAAGAGAGAGAAAGAGAGAGAAGUUUUACUUUAAAGCAUGAUUGGCUUGAUAAAGCACUUAUUAGAGUCAUUGAUUACUUUUUUUUACAUUUGUGUGUGUGUGUGUGUAUGUGUGUGUGUGUGUGUUCUCAUGCAGAGGAUUUAUGCAUUUAGUUAUACUGGGCUUAUUUUAAGACAUAAAGAUUCUCUUGUUUUUUUUUUUUUUUUUUGGUUUUUCGAGACAGGGUUUCUCUGAGUAGCUUUGCGCCUUUCCUGGGACUCACUUGGUAGUCCAGGCUGGCCUCGAACUCACAGAGAUCCACCUGCCUCUGCCUCCCGAGUGCUGGGAUUAAAGGCGUGCGCCACCACCGCCCGGCAGAUUCUCUUGUUUUUAAUAGUCUAGCGAUGUCAGAAGAUUGAGUCAAAUGAAAGUUGUAGGCAAAUGAAGUAUAAUGGGCUCUCUGUUCAGCUCAGGAAGAAGACCGAGGUUCAAGGCAUGUACCUUUGUUUCUUCGUCGAAUUCUCCCAUGGACUCUAUCAACUUCCCGGGCUCCUGCUCACCUAGUGGAAAGGGGCUUGCUUCUGAGUAUGCGUGUCUACAAGGGUGGAGGCCAGAACACAGUCUCCGGUGUCUCGUUCCUGAGGUGCUGUCCACCUUGGUUUUUGAAACAAGGUCUGUCACUGUCCUGGAAUUCAUUAAAGAUGCUCCUCUGGCUAGCCUGUGAUCCCCAGGGCCACCUGUCUCUGCCUUCCCAGUGCUUGGAACGCAGGUGUGUACCAUCACACCUGGAUCUUUUUAAUAUGGGUUCUGGGAAUCGGACCCAAGUAAGUAUGCUUGUAUGAUGAACGCUUAAUUGAAUGGGCUAUUCUACACCUCAGCCCGUUUAUUUUCUUAGUAAUUGAAAUACAGAAUACUGAAAUAUAAGAAAUGGCUAUUUACUUGAUAAAACAUACAGAUAUAUUCUGAUGAAAUGAAAUAUUCUGCCUUUCUUAUAAUGACACAUCACAAGUGAGCCUGUAAGAAAGUAGAGUUGGAAAGAAAAGUUUGGGCUAAAUGGUAGUCUAACUCCUCAUAGCUCUGUAAAUAAUUCCUUUGUUAACUUCUCUUGAGCUUUCCCACAUGAAAUGUGGCAUCCUUUCUGCCAAGCUCUCUAAAUGAGCCAUGGUCCCUUCCAGUCACAGCAAGCCUUUCAUAGUUGGCUGACUUGAAUGGGUUGAUUCCUCUGGUUGCAGUGUCCUAGUCAUCUUGAACUCUGAUUUGUGUGUGUGUGUGUGUGUGUGUGUGUGUGUGUGUGGUGUUUGGGGGUGGGAGAUGGAGUACCAUAUGUGUGAAAGUGUUGGUGGAGAGACCAGAAAAUGGUGUCAGAGCCACUGGUGUUGGAAUUGUAAGUGGUUAUAAGCUGCCUGAUGUGGGUGGGUGUUGGGACCUGAACUUGGUCUUCUGCAAGUGCAGUGAGUGCUCUUAACCACUGAGAUAUCCCUACAGCCCUGUUGAACUCCACUUCAUACUAAUUAAUUAACGUGGUAUUUAGUUUUUAAUUUUAUAAAGUUUUAAAGCUACAGAAGAGUUGCCAUGAAAUUCAAGAAUCUGCCAUAUAACCAUCACCCAAGUUAAAAAGUUGUUAAUAUUUUGACACCUUACUUUGUUAUUUUUAGGUAUAUGUAUGUGUGUAUGUAUGUAUGCAUGUAUGUAUUCAUGAAACCACGGUGAGUUUGGAGACAUCAUUGCCCUUUAUUCCUAAAUAAAUUAGCGUUUAUUUCCUAAAAACAGGACUUUUUCUUUUCUUUUAUAACAUGAACUUAUUUGUGGUGUGUGUGUGUGUGUGUGAGAGAGAGAGGGAUGGGGCGAUGGUGACAUGUGGAGGUCAGAGUACAAACUGUGGGAGUCAGUUCUCUCCUUCCACCCUGUGGGUUCUGAUCAAACCCAGGUUGUCAGACUUGGCAGCAAGUCCCUUUACCCAUGGAACCAGCUUGACUUCUUCUUUCUCCUCUCCUCCCUUCUCCUCUUCUCUUCAUUUUUGAAAGGGUUUCAUCAGAUAGCGUUGGUUGGCAAGUGUCUUGCUGUGUAGACCAGGCUAGCCUAGAAACUCACAGAGAUCUGACCACCUUUGCCUUCAGUGUGCUGUGAUUAAAGACAUGUGCCAACAGGCCUGGCUAAGGAGACACUUCUUAUAUGACUACAAUGCACUUUCUAAAAUCAGGAAAUGCACCAUGGAGGGAGGGAGACAUGUGCUGCAGCGCACAUGUGGAGGUCUAACCGCAAAGUUUUGGGAAUCAGUUUUCUCCCUUCAGGAAGUGUAAGUCAUUUGUUUAUCUGUUUGUGUGGGAGAGAUUUUACCUAUUGAGUCAGCCCUCUGGCUCAAUACAGUGUUUUGUUAUCUUAACUGACACUGUUUUUUGGUUGUACUAACAGUGUGCACUAUCCAUCCAUCCAUCCACCCACCCACCUCUCUCUCUCUCUCUCUCUCUCUCUCUCUCUCUCUCUCUCUCUCUCUCUCUCUCAAUCUAUCUAUCAAUCACUAUCUUAUCUAUCAUAUCUAUCUAUCUAAUCUAUCUAUCUAUCUGUCUAGAAAAGGGCUCCCUACAUAGUCCUGGCUAGCCUGGAACUCACUAUGUAAAGCAGGCUGGUCUAAAACUCACAGAGGUCCACCUGCCUCUGCCUCCUGAGUACUGGGAUUAAAGGCAUGCACCACCACACCCAGCUUAUGUAUUUACUUUAGUAUUUGUACUUUGAGAAUAAUACUUUUAUAAAUUCAUCAGUACCAUGCAGUGUUGAUACAGGCCUACAUUGUGUAAUGAUAAAAUCAAGGCAUUGGGCUAUCCAUCAGCUAAUCAUUUAGUGCUUCUUUGAGGUGAAACAAUUCUCCCAUACCUAUUUUGAAACAUACAAGAAAUUUCUGGGUCAUAUAGUAAGUUCCAGUUAACCUGGGCUACAAAGUGAGACCCUGUCUCCAGAAGCAAUGACCAACCCACCAGCUAAAGAACCCCAGGAGAUCUGGCAUGUUACACAGUGGGAUGACUAUACAUAAUAAUAAUGUUCUGUAUAUUUCAAAAAGCCAGGAGAAAUGACUUGUAAUGUUUAACCAUAGAGAUAUGCUUGGGUAGAUAUGUUUAACCUGAUAGAAACAUUAUACCAUUUACACAUAUAUCAAAAAUCAUACCAGAUAUAUGUGUACAUAUAUAUAUAUAUAUAUAUAUAUAUAUGUACACAUAUAGUGUUCAAAAUAACUUCAAACUUAAAAAAUACUUCAAUUGGUAAUAUACACUGGAGGAAAUGGUCAUUUAAAAAAUAGAAAUUUAACCUGGGUGUUGGUGGUACAUGCCUUUAAUUCCAGCACUGAGGAGGCAGAGGCAAGUGGAUCUCUGUGAAUUUGAGGCCAGCCUGGUCCACAGAGUGAGAUCUUAUGUUAUGUAUAUGUAUAUAUAUAUUUGAUGGCUAGGGAGAUAGUUCAGAGAGUGCUUGUUGCCCAAUCAUGAUGAACUGAGUUCAAAUCCCCAGUACCUCAACUGAACAUGUUUGUGCAUGUGCCUAUAAUUCUAGUGCUGUGUGAGGCAGAGGCAGGAGGAGUGUUGGGGGCUUCCUGGCUGCCAGCCUAGCUCCAGAUUCAGUGAGAGACCUUGUCUUAAGAGAACAAAACAGCGUGAUAGGAUAGAACCCAUGAUGUCCAACACACACACACACACACACACACACACACACACACACACACACACACUCACACACACACACACCCCCCACAGUUUCAAAGUCCAUGAUUGACUACCAAAUCUAUGUUUAGAUUUCUGUAUUCAUUUGUAUAUGAAGCCAAGCAAAUACACCUGCUGCGGAAGCCCUCAAGACACACAGUUAUGUCUCCUUGCAUCUGUGCCAGCAGCUGAUCUUGUUCUAACACUCUGCUUGGUAUGCACCAGGGGUUCAUCUCCUCUUCUUGCUAAAGCUGUUUACAUUUCCAACAUACAACAUGAUUUUAGAGUCCCACGCUUAUACUGCCCUCGUCAGCUCCAUUAGCAUGAAGAUGAAAUCCAGGCAUUAAUUUUCUAAUUAGGAACUUUUCCCUUCCCAGCAUGCUGGCAUUCUCAAAUAUAAAUAUGCUUUAGGAAGCAGUCUGUCCUGUUUUAAUAUGGAGAAAGCAAAGGCGCCUAAAGCAGAAGUGAAAAGCAGUCUUCCAGUCUUCUGCAAUUCAUCCCUCCUGAUUAUUUCCUUGGUUUCCUUCUGUGUGUGUGCAUGUGCAUGUGUGUGUGCGCAUGCAUGUGCGUGUGCAUGUGUGUGUGCAUGUGUGUGUUCAGAGGAUAGUGUCAGAUGCCAGUCCUUCUUGACUUCCACUUAUUUCAGACAGGGUCCUUCUGUUGUUUUUCUGCUGCAUGUACCAGGAUAGCUGGCCCUUGGGCUUCUAAGAGCAUUGGGAUUAAAGAUGUUCACGCUGUGUAUCUAGCUCUUAAACGGGUUCUGGGGAUUCAAACCCAGGUGCCCAGGGAUGCAUUGCCAGUGCUUUACCUGCUGAGCCAUCUCAUUUCCCCAGUCCCUUGGAUUGAUUUUUUUUUAAAAUUUUUAAAUUCUACCACAGACCAGCAAACUCAUGGUUUGAAAGGUUUAAAUUAUUACUUCGACUUGCUCUCAACUUCUUUCUAUAGAAGGUUCUAUAUCUGCUUGUAACUUUCUGAGUUUUAAACUUUUCAUGCCUUUUAUUGGUAACUGUCUUAGUCACUGUUCUGUUGCUGUGAAGAGACACCAUGACCAACACUUAGAAAGCAUUUAAUUGAGAGCUGGCUUACAGUUCAGAGGCUUAGUCCAUUAUCAUCAUGGUGCGAAUCAGACAGGCAUGGACUGGGGGAGUAACUGAGAGAUACAUCCUGAUCCGUAGGCAGAGAGAGAGAGAGAGAGAGAGAGAGAGAGAGAGAGAGAGAGACUUUUGAAACUUCAAAGCCCACCACCAGUGACACACUUCCUCCAACAAGGCCACACUUCCUAAGCCUUCUAAUCCUUUCAAACAUUUCUACUCCCUGGUGACUAAACAUUCACAUAUGUGAGCCAAUUGGGACCAUUCUUAUUCAACCAACACAGUAACUCUUGAUCGUCUCCAGCUUGAUAGCAAUUUUACAAAUUCAUUGGUUUUGAAAUUGGUCUAAAUCUGGGCUAUCAUCCUUAAUGCUUUAGAUUUUUUUCUUUUUAAAUCCAUCGUCCUUAGAUUCUUUCAUUUUGAAAUAAAUCCAGUUAAUAGUAAUUAUUUAGCCAUUAUUCUUCUUAUGAGGUGACUCUGCCCAUAAUAAUUCUUUGAACUAGCCAGGUGGUGGUGGUGCACACCUUUAAUUCAAGCACUCGGGAGGCAGAGCCAGGUGGAUCUCUGUGAGUUGGAGGUCAGCCUGGUCUACAGAGUGAGUUCCAGGACAGGCACCAAAACUACACAGAGAAACCCUGUCUCGAAAAACAACAACAACAAAAAUUCUUUGAAUUGGAAUUGGACUUGUAAAAAAAAAAUCUUCUUUUGAGAUGGUUGGAAUAUAACUUUGACACAUAUGCUUUCAAGUUGAUUAACUUGAAAAUUGCUUUAGUAAAUGUGUGAAUGAGUUGAAGGAACAAUUUCUUGAAUGGGUGUGGGGCUGGAGAGAUGGCUAAGUGGUUAUGAGCUUGUAUUGUUCAUGCAGAGGGACUGAGUUAGUUCCCAGCUGUACCAUGAAUCUUAAAAGAUCUUAUUAAUAAAAACAAACCCGGAGCCAGGUACUAGGGCAAACGCUGAAAGAUCAGUCAGGUAGAACAAGCCACAGCUGACCUCACCCGGCCAACUUCUCAGCCGAUCCUGUUUCCUCAGACUGGAAGCCUCUGAGUCCUCAUCCGAGUUGAUCUCAGCUGAACUGCUGCUAAAAGACUAAAAGCUUAGCAAGACUCUAGUUCCUGGUCCUCACACCUUAUAUACCUUUCUGCUUCCUGCCAUUACUUCCUGGGAUUAAAGGCAUGUGUCUUUCCCAAGCAAGACAUGAGAUCUCAAGUGCUGGGGUUAAAGGUGUGAGUCACCAUGUCUGGUUGUUUUCAGUGUGACUUUGAACUCACAGAGAUCCAGAUGGAUCUCUGCUUCCAGAAGGCUAGGAUUAAAGGUGUGUAUGCCACCGUUUUUUCUGGCCUCUAUGUCUAUCCAGUGGCUGUUCUGUUUUCUGACCCCAGAUAAGUUUAUUAGGGUGCACAAUAUAUUGCGGGACACAAUAUCAGCACACCCAGCACCCAUCUCAGGCUGCUCACAAAGCCUUGUAACUCCAGCUCCUGGGGGGUCUGACUUCUAGCCACUGUAGAAUGUGCUGCUACUCAUGUGCACAUAACCACAUCCCCAUAUAUACACAUAUACAAUAAAAACCCAACUUUUUUAUUGUUUGAAUAUAUGAAAGAAGGAACCCUGGUGUAAUUAGUCCUGAAAUAUUAGGUACAAGAAAGUAGGCACAAGAAAUGAAAGUCUUGUUAAUGUGGAGCUCUUGUUUUGAGGGAAAGGAGAUUGCAUCAGGAAGGAAGUAAGGAAAAGAGACUCCUCAAGAUUUGUGUGGUUCUGCAGGAAGGAGAGCACACACCCACCCAUCAGUUGAUAACCCCUCUACUUGAUAGAUGCUUAAUAAAUACUCGAGUAAAAAUACUUUGAAAAAUUGCUGCUUCUUCAUUCGUCAUGAUGGUUAAUAUUGAUCAUCAAUUUGACAGCAUCUAGAAUCACCUAGACGACAAACCUCUGGGCAUGUCUGUGGUGGAGUUUCUAGAUUGGGUUAAUUGAUGUGAGAAGACUCACUCUGAUUGUGGACAGUACUAUUCCAUGAGCUGAAUGAAAUGGAAAAGGUCAGCUGAGCACCAGCAUUCAUCUCUUCCUCCUUUCUCACUAUAGAUGCUAUGAGACUAGCUGCCAUCUGCUCCUGCAACAAUGCCUUCCCGGUUAUGAUAGACGAUACCCUUGAACUGUGAGCUGAAAUAAGCCCUUUCUUCCUGAAGUUGUUUUUGUCAGACAUUUUAUAACAAGAAGAAAAGUAUCCAAUUCACCUAUUAUCUUACAGCUGCAAUUUUCCUGUGUAUUAAAUGAAUCAUAAGGAAGAAUCCGGGGCUGAGGAAGCCCAAGCAUGGCCUUGCACAGACAGUUGCUCUGCUGUCAACUGGCCUGACCUCCCUGGGACACACAAGACUGUGUCAGGUUCUCAUCACAUCUGUUCCCAGAAGAGUCUGUUCCCUAGGGAUCUACUAAGAUUAUGAAUCAGUUUCUGAAGAUAUAUGUCUGAAUGAGCUAAUGUGGCAUUUCACAUCUACUGUUUUAGAAGGCCCCCUUUAAAGGUUCUGUGAGGGCCAGCUGUGAUAGCACAGACCUGUAAACUGAGGCACUUAGGAGUGAGUAUGAGACAGAAAAUAUGAGGUAGGCGGUACUGAUCUGUUUAAGAGUGGAGAAAUUAAGCUGAGCAUAAGCAAGCAAGUGAGCAUGCUCACAUUCAUUUCUCGCUGCUGUCCACUGUGGAUGUGAUGUGACCAGCUGCUUCAAGCUCCUGUCUUGACUUCUCCACAAUGAUGGAUGGUAACCUGGAAUCGUAAGCUGAAAGAAACCCUGUUAUCCCCUCUGCAGCUUCUUGUCAGGGUGUUUUAUCAUAGCAACAGAGAUGAAACUAGAACAGUCACCCAGCUACCACGUGCUAGAACCAGAAUUUCCUCUCAUUGUCCACAACUUCUUGAGGGAGAGUUAGAAGCCUCUCAGGAGGCUUACAGGCAUCAAAACAGGGUUUCCCUCUUUCGUACUGCAGUGCAUUGGAAGACAUCAUUUAUCAAAGUUAUUUGGAGAUGGAAGUAUAAAAAUAAACAUAAAUGUCAAGUUGGGUGAGAGCUGGGCAGGAAACCCUGUUUGUCUCAAGUCAUUUUAGAAGUGUUUCUAUUAACAUGUAACAUUCUAUUUCCUGCCAUAGUCCUGGAACUAGUAAAAUCUUUCUUUGAUGACAAAGAAUCUUUUUAGUGACGUCAGAUCACUGAGUUUGGAUUUCCAGAAUCUUUGUAAAGCCAGAUUUGGUAGCACCUAUCCAUGGUCUCAGCACGUCCAUAGCAAGAGAGGGUAAGUGGGAAUCCUGGGAAGAUGGUGGGCCUGGUGGAUGCAGCAGUGAUAAGACUGUCUCCAAACAGGUGGAUGGCGAGGACUGGCACUAGAAGUUGUCUUCUGAUGUCCAAGCACCUGCGCAUGUUCAUGCAUGCAUGCAUGCACGCAUGUGCGUGCACACAUAUACAUACACACACACACACACACACACACACACACACACACACACACACACGACUUGGAUGAAGACACACAGGCUUAAGUACACUUGCAGAAAUUCUUAGAGAAGUAAGAAAAUGUAUUGUUGGGCAUUUUUGGUCUGUUGUCUUUUGUUUUGAUUUUCAUUUUUUUUUUUUGAAAGAGAGAAAUGAAACAAAGUUAGGUGGGUAGGGAAGUCGGGAGGAUCUAUGAGGUGCUGGGGAAGAAGAAAAUGGUCAAAAUAUAUUGUAUGAAAAUUUUUUUAAAUGAAAUAAAAAAGAAAAUGUAUGAUAUUUACCCAACAAAAAACAGGAUAUAUAAAACUAGUUGAGGCCUGAAAAUGGUGAUAAUUCAUGAGAAAUUACAAGUAAAAAUCUAAAGGCCAACCACUGAUGAAGUCGUUGAGGAACAUUCCCAGAAAAAUCAAAGUUCAAAGGAUCGUUCUGAUCUGGGGAUUGUUUUUAGAAGGGAAUCUGCCCAUGUGACUGUAACUAGAAUUGGGGAGCAUUACUAUUUUAAAGAGAAUAAUGAAAACAGCUUCUAAGUCCUGGAUCUACCGGCCUGCGAGGGCAUAGAAAACUUGAGGGUUUCAUGUCCAAAUUAUAGUCAUUCAAGCUGUCACAGUGUGAAGACAAGACACUAGAACCAUUACCUUUCCUGGGAGCCCUGCUCAGGAUGUACACACACGUGCCCACUACCUGCUGUACCCACUGGGGUCACAGUGAACUUGCCAAGCUCUUCUUCUUCAGCUAGUGUAUUUGUCUCAGGUACUAUUUCAAGGUGGGAAUAGUAACCCCCAUUGCUGGUUAUAUUAUUCAGAGGAUGGGCUUUGAACUUGACGGUGGUGUUUUUCUCAUGAUGUUUCCAUUUCCGAGAAUGCUAGUGGACACUCUGUUCAAUGGGGCACUGUUCAGAGUGGCCCUUUGCCCAGCUUCCUGUCUCUUCCCCUCUUCUGCUGCUAAAAGUUCAGGACCCACAGUAGCCUUUGGGUUCUCUCCUUUGCGCUUUCCUGCUUACAUACUUGCUCCCAUUUUCAGUAUUUCCAGAUACUUUUAGAAAAUUCUAUGGGGCUGGAGAGAUGGCUCAGCAGUUAAAAGCACUGACUGCUCUUCCAGAGGGAUCAUUCCCGGCACCCACAUGGUAGCUCAAACUCCAGGAUCCAACACCCUCACAUAGACGUACAUACAGGCAAAACACCAAUAAAAUAGAAAUAAAUAAAUUAAAAAAAGACCACCCUCUGCAUCCCGGGUGAAAUUGGAAACCUUCUACAGAUACGCAUGUGCAAUAAGAUGGAACUGAAAUGUGAUCGCUCCUCUGUGCUCCUUAGUCAUCUACUACACUCUCCAGUCCUGUGUGCUGAAAUCCAACCAACUGGGCAUGGAGAAUACUUGAAACAAUCUCUCACCCAUGCUCCUCCUGCUCCUGUGGGUAGCCCUUCACCCCUAACAACCCUAACAAAGCUCACUGGGUCACCAAAAAGGGGGAGAAGGGUGGAGGUUAGGGGGUAUGCUUGUUAUUUUUGUCAACCUGACACAAACCUAGACAUACCUGGGAAACUUCGACUGAGGCGUUGCCUGUCUCAGAUUGGCCUGUGGGCAUUGUGUUAAUGGCUGUGAGAGGGCCCAGCCACUGUGGGCGGGGCCAUCCCUGCGCAGGUGGGUUUGUGUGGUGGAAGGAAGGUACUGAGCAAGCGUGCUCCUCCUUGGUUUCUGCUUCAGUUCCUGUCUCCAGGUCCCUGCACUGAGCUUCUGUCCUAGUUUAGAACGCACUCUAACCUGUCAGCCCAAUAACCUUUUCCCCGCCCAGGCACGUUUGCUAACGGUGUUAUCACAGCGACAGAAAGCAAAUUAACAACUAAGACAGGAGAAAGAGAGGGUGAUGGGAGUAAAUAUGAUCAGAGCACAUCAUACACACGUGUGACUAUGUCAUAGUGACUCAAUGGGAAAAUACUUUGGAAAAUAGCUUUUGUUUUUAACAUGUAGAAGCUGACUCCCUUUAAUUACCUCCUAAGCAAUAGAAUAAAGUAGACCAAGUAGACACCACUCACUUUGUAUUAUGAUUGUAAGGGAUCUAGAGCAUUUAGGAGGGUGUGUAUAAGUUAUAUACAAAAACUAUACCACUUAAUAUAAAACAAUUGGGCAUCUGAGAGUUUUGGUAUCUUUUGGGGUCCUGGAAUCAAUUCUCUUUGUACCAAGAAGCAAUAGUACAUAUUUCGGAUGUUUUACUAACUCGAACUUUCCUUUUCCCUCAAAAGUGUCUAACCUGUCAAGUAGCAGGCUGCUGGUCUAGCCUGCUGCUUUCCACAAGCCAUCCAAAUGGGACCCCAGCUUACCUUUCCUAUGACAUCUGUCAACAGCUUCAGAGACCGAGGAUCGUGAACCAGGGAGUCUGUGUAGAAGGAGCCAAGAAUGGAGUCCCAUGGAUAACUGGAAAAACCCAAGAGUUGAAGCUGUGCUCCUGACCCCAGUCCAGCACAAACCUACGAGCCAAGGCAGCCAGUAUUUGGCCAUUCGACCAUCCAUCUGCAUAUCCCAGGGAUGCACGAACAGAGAACAGUUCAGCCUCUCAGCUGCCUUAAAUAGAGCAAUGAGAAAGAGGUUAUUGGGGGCCACCACUUUUUUAUAUCUCAUUCCACGUUGAUCUGAGCAAAUAAGCUCAAAUACUUUGAAAUUCCUUCUUGAUCAGUAUAGAAGAUUCCUUGACCAAUUAUUACUGCUUGAACAAAUAAAAAGAACUCUCAGAAUUAA